AAGUCGUAACAAGGUUUCCGUAGGUGAACCUGCGGAAGGAUCAUUAAUGGAUUUUGACCGAAAGGUUGAAUUACCUUGUGAUGUGUUGAAUGUUGUCUGUUGCCAUGUGAAAAGUGGCGACAGUACUUUUUUUUACAAACCAUUUUUUUGAUUUCUGAUUCUUUUGUGCAUUUUUGCACACAAACAACCGAAAACUGCCAGCAACGGAUCACUCGGUUCUC
rnacentral:misc_RNA from 1 species